AAGUCGAUUUGCAAAAGGAUUACUGGCUUUCAGUUUUUUCCACAAGACCCAUCAAAAGUUAUGGUUACUUGUGCUGACUCUCACGUCAGAAUCCUAGAUGGUGUCAAUGUGAUCGGCAAGUACAAAGGUCCGCGAACUGCAGGAAACCAUCUCUCUGCCUCUUUCACCUCGGAUGGGAAGCAUAUUGUCUCAGCGUCUGAAGAUUCUAAUGUCUAUGUAUGGAAUUGCGACGUUCCCAAAGAUUAUGAAUCUCAACCUAAAGUGGUGAGGUCAUCUGA
rnacentral:misc_RNA from 1 species